GAGGCUUCUUGGCCUUUUGGCUAAGAUCAAGUGUAGUAUCUGGUAGCUUAAAGAGGCUCUCUCCACCUUUUAGUUUCCCUCUUUUAUCUUCUUCUAUUUUUGUACUUUUUCUAUUUUUAUAAAGGUUUUAUAACUUUUAUUUGGAAGCCACCCAGAGUCACUCUUAUAGUGAGAUAGGUGGUAUAUCA